UGGGGAAUAUUGCGCAAUGGGGGAAACCCUGACGCAGCAACGCCGCGUGAGUGAUGAAGGUUUUCGAAUCGUAAAGCUCUGUCAGGCGGGAAGAAUCGAUCGAAUCCCAAUACGAAUCGAUCUUGACGGUACCGCCAAAGGAAGCACCGGCUAACUCCGUGCCAGCAGCCGCGGUAAUACGGAGGGUGCAAGCGUUGUUCGGAAUUAUUGGGCGUAAAGAGCGUGUAGGCGGUCUGGUAAGUCAGGUGUGAAAGCCCUUAGCUCAACUAAGGAAUGUCAUCUGAUACUGCCGGACUUGAGUACGGGAGAGGAGAGUGGAAUUCCCGGUGUAGAGGUGAAAUUCGUAGAUAUCGGGAGGAACACCCGUGGCGAAGGCGACUCUCUGGACCGAUACUGACGC
rnacentral:rRNA from 1 species